AGCAAGCUCUUUCCUCACUGCUCUCCUCCCACCUCUGCAGCCUCAGACACUACAAGGCUGCAUUUUUCAGGACUCCAAAGUCCCUCAUUUGUUAGCACUGAGGUUUGAGUUCCUGCUCUUAAGUCCUGGUGCCUGCCAACUUUGAGGUGUUUACUCCUUCAGUCCCCAGAUAUGACCCUGGAGUCUCCAGAACCUAGGCCACAGUAAGCACAGCUGUUCCCAGGACAUUCCAUCUGUGAAUUCAGAUUCCAGUGGUAUCCUUAGGACUUUAAGCUCCUCAGGCAUCAAACAAGGUAUCAGGACUGUAUUUGUUCCAAAAAUGGACUUUGGAAGGACUCCUUAACUGAUUGUUCUACAUAAUUUUUUAAUAUUGGAAUUGUAUUAUCUUUAAAUGUUUGGUAAAUUUUACUUUUAAAUCAGUCAGAUCCUGAAACUUUUUUCCUAAUGUGAUUCUUGAAGAAUUGAUGAAUAUUCAUAAAGAAUGAUGCACAAAAUCUUGUGAAUUCAAAGCCAAAUCAUGUAAACCAAAUGACUAUAGCAAAAGGAUACUUUGGAUAAAAACAAUAAAGGAUAAAAUUUCAAGUUGUAAGGUUUAUUAAAGUCAAUAUAUUUCAUUAUU